UUCGGGGGGAGCAAGCGUUGUUCGGGUUUACUGGGCGUAAAGGGCGCGUAGGCGGUCGUGACAAGUCACUUGUGAAAUCUCCGGGCUUAACUCGGAACGGUCAAGUGAUACUGUCGGACUAGAGUACAGAAGGGGCAACUGGAAUUCUCGGUGUAGCGGUGAAAUGCGUAGAUAUCGAGAGGAACACCUGCGGCGAAGGCGGGUUGCUGGGCUGAUACUGACGCUGAGGCGCGAAAGCCAGGGGAGCGAACGGG
rnacentral:rRNA from 1 species